rnacentral:rRNA from 5 species
UGCUGGAGGUAUCAGAAGUGCGAAUGCUGACAUAAGUAACGAUAAAGCGGGUGAAAAGCCCGCUCGCCGGAAGACCAAGGGUUCCUGUCCAACGUUAAUCGGGGCAGGGUGAGUCGACCCCUAAGGCGAGGCCGAAAGGCGUAGUCGAUGGGAAACGGGUUAAUAUUCCCGUACUUGGUGUUACUGCGAAGGGGGGACGGAGAAGGCUAUGUUGGCCGGGCGACGGUUGUCCCGGUUUAAGCGUGUAGGUGUGUGUUCCAGGUAAAUCCGGUUCACUUUAACACUGAGGCGUGACGACGAGGCACUACGGUGCUGAAGCAACAAAUGCCCUGCUUCCAGGAAAAGCCUCUAAGCAUCAGGUAACACGAAAUCGUACCCCAAACCGACACAGGUGGUCAGGUAGAGAAUACCAAGGCGCUUGAGAGAACUCGGGUGAAGGAACUAGGCAAAAUGGUGCCGUAACUUCGGGAGAAGGCACGCUGACACGUAGGUGAAGUGAUUUACUCAUGGAGCUGAAGUCAGUCGAAGAUACCAGCUGGCUGCAACUGUUUAUUAAAAACACAGCACUGUGCAAACACGAAAGUGGACGUAUACGGUGUGACGCCUGCCCGGUGCCGGAAGGUUAAUUGAUGGGGUCAGCGUAAGCGAAGCUCCUGAUCGAAGCCCCGGUAAACGGCGGCCGUAACUAUAACGGUCCUAAGGUAGCGAAAUUCCUUGUCGGGUAAGUUCCGACCUGCACGAAUGGCGUAAUGAUGGCCAGGCUGUCUCCACCCGAGACUCAGUGAAAUUGAACUCGCUGUGAAGAUGCAGUGUACCCGCGGCAAGACGGAAAGACCCCGUGAACCUUUACUAUAGCUUGACACUGAACAUUGAGCCUUGAUGUGUAGGAUAGGUGGGAGGCUUUGAAGUGUGGACGCCAGUCUGCAUGGAGCCGACCUUGAAAUACCACCCUUUAAUGUUUGAUGUUCUAACGUGGACCCGUAAUCCGGGUUGCGGACAGUGUCUGGUGGGUAGUUUGACUGGGGCGGUCUCCUCCUAAAGAGUAACGGAGGAGCACGAAGGUUGGCUAAUCCUGGUCGGACAUCAGGAGGUUAGUGCAAUGGCAUAAGCCAGCUUGACUGCGAGCGUGACGGCGCGAGCAGGUGCGAAAGCAGGUCAUAGUGAUCCGGUGGUUCUGAAUGGAAGGGCCAUCGCUCAACGGAUAAAAGGUACUCCGGGGAUAACAGGCUGAUACCGCCCAAGAGUUCAUAUCGACGGCGGUGUUUGGCACCUCGAUGUCGGCUCAUCACAUCCUGGGGCUGAAGUAGGUCCCAAGGGUAUGGCUGUUCGCCAUUUAAAGUGGUACGCGAGCUGGGUUUAGAACGUCGUGAGACAGUUCGGUCCCUAUCUGCCGUGGGCGCUGGAGAACUGAGGGGGGCUGCUCCUAGUACGAGAGGACCGGAGUGGACGCAUCACUGGUGUUCGGGUUGUCAUGCCAAUGGCACUGCCCGGUAGCUAAAUGCGGAAGAGAUAAGUGCUGAAAGCAUCUAAGCACGAAACUUGCCCCGAGAUGAGUUCUCCCUGAGACUUAGAGUCUCCUGAAGGAACGUUGAAGACGACGACGUUGAUAGGCCGGGUGUGUAAGCGCAGCGAUGCGUUGAGCUAACCGGUACUAAUGAACCGUGAGGCUUAACCUU